rnacentral:misc_RNA from 1 species
GAUGAAGAACGCAGCGAAAUGCGAUACGUAAUGUGAAUUGCAGAAUUCAGUGAAUCAUCGAAUCUUUGAACGCAUAUUGCGCUCUCUGGUAUUCCGGAGAGCAUGCUUGUUUGAGUAUCAGUAAACACCUCAACUCCCUUUUCUUUUUUGAAAUUGGAGCUGGACUUGAGUGAUCCCAACGCUUUCUUCCAAGAAAGUGGCGGGUUGCUUGAAAUGCAGGUGCAGCUGAACUUUUCUCUGAGCUAUAAGCAUAUCUAUUUAGUCUGCCUAAAAAACAGAUUAUUACCUUUGCUGCAGCUAACAUAAAGGAGACUAGUUCUUGUGCUGACUGAUGCAGGAUUCACAAAGACAGCUUCGGCUGACUUUGUAAACUCGAUCUCAAAUCAAGUAAGACUACCCGCUGAACUUAAGCAUAUCAAUAAGCGGAGGA